rnacentral:rRNA from 1 species
GCCAGACUCCUACGGGAGGCAGCAGUGGGGGAUAUUGCACAAUGGGGGGAACCCUGAUGCAGCGACGCCGCGUGGGUGAAGGAGCGUUUCGGCGCGUAAAGCCCUAUCGGCAGGGAAGAAGGAGGACGGUACCUGACUAAGAAGCCCCGGCUAACUACGUGCCAGCAGCCGCGGUAAUACGUAGGGGGCGAGCGUUAUCCGGAUUCACUGGGUGUAAAGGGAGCGUAGACGGCCAAGCAAGCCAGGGGUGAAAGCCCGGGGCCCAACCCCGGGACUGCUCUGGAAACUGUGCGGCUUGAGUGCGGGAGGGGCAGGCGGAAUUCCUAGUGUAGCGGUGAAAUGCGUAGAUAUUAGGAGGAACACCGGCGGCGAAGGCGGCCUGCUGGACCGUAACUGACGUUGAGGCUCGAAAGCGUGGGGAGCAAACAGGAUUAGAUACCCCAGUA